rnacentral:lncRNA from 1 species
AGUGCUGGGAUUACAGGCAUGAGCCACUGCACCCAGCCCCCAUGUGUUUUUGAUAUAAGAGUGUCAGUCAUCUGUGGCCACAAUCAUGUUGCCUAACAAAUAGCUACAACAUCUCACGGGUGUUUGCAACUGUAAAUGUUUUACUGGGGGUGGCCUGGCUUAGCUGACGGAGGCUGGAUUUGCUCAUUCAUCUGCAUUCAACUGGUGGUCAGCUGCGAAUGGCAAGACCAAAACAGUCUUAACUGGGAGGACUCAUCGUUGCUCCCUUUGGUCUCUCAUCCUCCAGCAGGCUGGCUCAGCUUGUUUUCCGUGGCAGGGGUAGGGUUCCAGGAGAGCAGGCUGAGCAAAUAUGGCCUCAUGAUACUUCAGCUUGGCUGAGGUUCAGUAUCACUUCUGCUGAAGCAAGCCGCAAGGCCAAGCCCAGAUUCAAGAGGUAGGAAAAUAGACUCCUCUCAAUGCAAAGUCACAUAACAAGAGAGGUGUGGAUAAAGGGAGGGGAAUAAUUUUAGCCAUUUUUGCAGUUGGUCUGCCAGAAUAAGGAUGAGACUUUGAUAGGGGUUUUCUGAUGAGCUCUCCCUCUGGGGCAUCUCGGGCUGGACAUGUGGUCUGCAGUGUGCUUCUAGCUUUUGAGCUGGGGCUGGGGAGCCGUGGAGUCCCUGGAGGGGAGCUUGAGGUCCGAAGGAGUCAGUAGGAUUUGCAGGAGUUUUCUGACUGAUGCAGUGUGGCUGCUUUGUCAGGUAUUGCUUCUUCAUUUUAUUUUAUAUUGAGAUAGAGUCUCACUCUGUUGCCCAGGCUGGAGUACAAUGGCAUAAUCCUAGCUCACUGAGCCUUGACCUCCUGGACACAAAUGAACCUCCCACCUCAGCCUACUGAGUAGCUGGGACUACAGGUGCACACCACUAUGCCAGGCUAAUUUUUAUUUAUUUUUUGUAGAGACAGGAUCUUGCUAUGUUGCCCAGGCUGGUCUCAAACUCCUGGCAUCAAGCAGUCCUCCUGCCUCGGCCUCCCAAGGUGCUGGGAUUACAGGCAUGAGCUACCAUGCCUGGCCUCCUUUAUUCUUUUCAAUGAGAUUCUUUAACAACAUGACCCAAAUAUCUUUUUUUUUUGUCAAUUAGGACUCGUUAAAGAAGAGAAAACAGGCACUGAGUUUUAAAAAAAAAUUCCUUGAUAUAAGUGUGUUUGUGUUUAUAAUAUUGUAAUUAUUAUCAUUAUUGGUCAGCUGCCAAUAUGAAAACAAACAGAACAGGUAGAAUAACCCACUUCAAGUCUGUACUUACAGUGCUGAUUUCCCCCACAGUCUGUGACUUUGCCCCUGAUCUUCAGUGUGAAAUGGAGAGGGGGCUCUGCUGCGUUUGGGUUUCUUGAGUACUUAUUUUAAAAUCUUAUUUGUUUAUUUAUUUAUUUUUUUGAGAUGGAUCUCGCUCUGUUGCCCAGGCUGGAGUGCAGUAGUACGAUCUCGGCCCACUGCAACCUCCACCUCCCAGGCUCAAGCGAUUGUCCUGCCUCAGCCUCCUGAGUAGCUGGGAUUACAGGCGUGCACCACGACGCCCAGCUAAAUUUUGAAUUUUGAGUAGAGAUGGAGUUUCACCAUGUUGGUCAGGCUGGUCUCAAACUCCUGACCUCAGGUGAUUCACCCACCUCGGCCUCCCAAAGCGCUGGGAUUGCAGGCAUGAGCCACCGCACCUGGCCUCUUGAGUGUUUAUUUGAGCCAACAGGUGUCCACACUGGGGCUUGCGCCUGGACCCCAGAGCGUGCUUUUCGUUUCCUGGUCCUGAUCUCCAGCUCUGAUUUUUUAGAUUGAGGAAAUAUCCAUCACCUCAAGGAGUUAAUAGUUUUCUGAAAUAAAUUUAAAAAACAAAAUUUGGAUAAAUUUGAACAACAAUGACAAAGUUUAAAAAAAUGUGAGUCCAGAUUUCUGAGGUGUUUUGCACCAGGUAGUCUCCCAGCGAUGGUGGUUCCCAGCUUGGACUGUACAUUAGAAUCAUCUGGAAAGGUCUGUAAAAGUCCAAGUGCCCAGGCCACAUCUCAGAAUUAACUGAGAAUCUGAGGGUGAGAUAAGACAUCAGUAUUUUCUUUUUUCUUUUUUCUUUUUUUUGAGACGGAGUUUUGUUCUUAUUGCCCAGGCUGGAGUGCAAUGGUACAAUCUUGGCUCACUGCAACCUCCGCCUCCCAGGUUCAAGUGAUUUUCCUGCUUCAACCUCUCAAGUAGCUGGGAUUACAGGCACCUGCCACCACAUCUGACCAAUUUUUGUAUUUUCAGUAGAGAUGGGGUUUUACCAUGUUGGCCAGGCUGGUCUCGAACUCCUGACCUCAGAUGAUCCACCCACCUCGGCCUCCCAAAGUGCUGGGAUUACAGGCGUGAGCCACCACGCCCGGCCAGGACAUCCGUAUUUUCUAAAGCUCCCAGAGUCAAUUCAGUGUGCAGCCAACAUUGACAACCACUGGUGCAGACUCUUGAACUCAAAGUGGGGUCCUCAGACCCGGAGCAGGGGGUUCCCUGCUGGAGAACUUGUUAGGCGUACAGAAUCCCAGCCCUCCCCACCAAGACCUGCUGAGUCAGGGCCUACUUUUCAGCAAAACCUGCCAGGGGCUUUGGGAGCAAUGGAGCCUUUGAGAAGCCUUAGCACAGAGCAUCUCAUUCCACUCUCGGAGCGCUGAGAUGUGGACGUGGGUGUCUGUGGUGAAAGGAUGAAGUCACAGGUUCAGGGAGGUACCACAGGCGCUCCCGUGGUGGAACCAGGAGGCAGUUCCAGUGCAAUCUGAGUCUGAAACUUCGCAUCCCCACAACACAUGGCUUCACCUACUGCCCAUGCCACAGCAUUAGUGACAGGCAGCCCGGUCUGGGCCUGUUCCCCAAGUGGACACUGGAAUGCGACUUCUAUCUUUCCUUGUCUCAGAAAAAGUGUGCCACCGUGAAUGCACUUAACACCGUUCACUGGGCACCUCUGCUGAGCACAGGCUGACAUGGUUAUGCCUGCUUCUUCCUGGGCCUCCCUGUCUGUGCCUCUCCCAGCUGGAAUGUCCCUUGCCAGAGGUAUGGGUCCUAAUUCAAGAGCCAGGUAAGCAUCCCAGAGACAGAGGCCAGAGGGAAAUGCUUCAUUCUUCAUUCCCGUGUGAUCAGAGGCCUGCUUCUGAUCUGAGUUUCAUCAGACCCAACACAAAUAUGCCUCUGGAAGCAUACAUUGUUGUUUCUCCGUUUCUUUGAAAUUGCUCUCAAAUCCCACCACUCCAAUCCAAUCAGUUGCCACUGAGCCAGCUGUGACAUGGGAUUUCACUUCUACCUCAAUUUCUGUAUCUCUGAGUUAGUAGAAAUAAGAAAAAUCCACCUUCAGCUGUCCUUUAAAUUCAGGGACAUCAUUUAAAAAUAAUCUCUUCCAGCUGGGCGCGGUGGCUCACCCCUGUAAUCCCAGCACUCUGGGAGGCUGAAGUGGGCAGAUCAUGAGGUCAGGAGAUUGAGACCAUCCUGACUAACAUGGUGAAACCCCGUCUUUAUCAAAAAUACAAAAAAUUAGCUGGGUGUGGUGGCAAACUCCUGUAUUCCCAACUACUUGGGAGGCUGAGGCAGGAGAAUCACUUGAACCUGGGAGGCAGAGGUUGCAGUGACCCGAGAUCGCGCCACUGCACUCCAGCCUGGGCAACAGAGUGAGACUACAUCUCAAAAAACAAACAAACAAACAAACAAACAAAAA